rnacentral:rRNA from 1 species
AUGGCAGCUUAUCGCAAUGUCGUCUUACAAAUGUCGGCUCGGUUUGAGGGGCUUGAAUUUCAUCACGUUGCCCGAGAAAGUAACCAGGCGGCGGACGUCCUUGCUCGCAUUGGCAGUAAGCGCGACCCCGUCCCACCUAACAUCUUCCUGGAAAGGCUUUUUAUGCCAUCCAUGGUGUGGCAAGGCAACAGUCUGGAUCCAAACACAACCCUAGAUCCUGAACACACCGAUAUCAUCGGGGGCUCAGCCGCCGAAACUACACUGUCGGCCCAUCUCAUUAUGGCAGUCAUUGCCCCAUGGACCGAACCCUUCUUGGCCUAA